rnacentral:lncRNA from 1 species
GGGACACGACAUGCACUGAGGUGACAGUUUUCCAGAGACUUGCCAGUUCCCACCAUGCUGAUGCACCUCCUUCGGUUUGCUUUCAGGCAGUCCUUUGUGAUGUCGCAGUGAUAAAUAAGCUUCAGUUAGAAGCUAAGCAAAGCUGAGCAAGCCUCAAAGGCACGCGGUGACACCUGCGUCACCCUUUGGCUUGUGCCUGCAUGGGAUGUGAUUUUGUAUUUUCUUCAGUCCUCCUGCAGGUUGUCUUGUAGUAAACUGAGAAAGCUGAAGGUGUCUUCUGUGUUGCAAGAGUAUAAAGCUGAGACAGCAUAUAGCAAGGAGCAGAAAGAAAGCAUCACUCGCUGCUGGGCAGCAGCUUUCUCUAUCAUCAGCCUUGCUGGCCUUCCACCUCUGCGUGGGCUUCAUUUAGCAGGAACAAAAAUCACCCCCUGGUUUGUAGGAAUGCUUUGUCUGGAGAGUAAUGGUCCUCUCUGCCAUGCAUGGCUACAGCUCUACCUCUUCUCGACAAGGCUGGGAAUGAAGAACCAUUGAACCAGUGGUCAUUUCAUCAAGGCAUUCAAGGGAGCAUUGGUUCUCCCAAAGAAACCCUUCUCUAGCCAAGCUGACUCAGUGACAUUGCUGAUUCUGAUGUUGCCAGGCUGGAUCUGCUGCCUGUGCUGCUCAGGCCUCCUUAAUGUAAAAUAUUCAUGAGUGCUUCUUCUAGCUGAUCUACAUUUUGAGGGGUUUCAUUCCCCGGUCCAGCCUGCUCUGCAAUCAUGAUAUUGACUUACAAGCCAUGAGAUUUAGAAGGUAAUAUAAACUUUUUUUUUUUUCCUUCUAGGAUUUGAGUAUUCAGAGUGCAUACAUUCAGGCUUUCUUCUGAGCCUUUAGGGAGGCAAAGCAAAUGGUGAAACUCCUCUAAAGCCACACCUGCUGCAGCUCCACAAAUGGCACUUGCUAGAGGGAGAUGGAGCAAAAUCAUGGCAGUUCCCUUUUAAAUCUAUGCUAAAAUAACUUGGUUUUGUAGUAGGAUGCUGCUAACUGGGCAACACUGGCUCACAACGUUUCUGAUGGUGUUUCUCCUUUGGUUUCUGCAAUGCUGGGAUAUCUGUGUGUCAGCCUGGAGACUGAUGCCAGAAGAACUGAUUUAAUUCUUGGUUUGGCCUCAGCAGCCCCUGUGUGGAUUGCAUAAGACACUUUGCUUUUCUGUAAUUAUAAUCUGGUCCUGAGGACAGAAGGCUUUGCCAUCACCUCAGCUAUGGGCCUGCCUCAGCCACGUGCUGCUGCAGCAAGACCUGGAAGUGGCAUAAAACACACAUAGUUUCUUCUGGAAGGAAUUAAAAGUGGCUCUUUUAUAUUGGUGGAUGUCACACAUCAACUGGCUUGUAAAUAUAACUUCAACUCCUAAAAAAGGCGAUUAUCACCUUUAUACUUCCUUAAUAGCAUCAUUUUAAAGUGAGUUACUGACAUCAUAUAUUACCUUCUUCCCCUAACAUAAAUGGUCUCCUCUUGCUGUAUUUUAUUACAUAUUGUAAAUUCAUUCGAGCAGUAU